UUUGGAAGAGUUGAUCCUGGCUCAGGACGAACGCGGCGGCGUGCCUAAUACAUGCAAGUCGAGCGGAGCAGAUGGAGUGCUUGCACUCCUGAUGCUUAGCGGCGGACGGGUGAGUAAUACGUAGGUAACCUGCCCUUAAGACCGGGAUAACUCACGGAAACGUGGGCUAAUACCGGAUAGGCGAUUUCCUCGCAUGAGGGAAUCGGGAAAGGCGGAGCAAUCUGCCACUUAUGGAUGGACCUACGGCGCAUUAGCUAGUUGGUGGGGUAACGGCUCACCAAGGCGACGAUGCGUAGCCGACCUGAGAGGGUGAUCGGCCACACUGGGACUGAGACACGGCCCAGACUCCUACGGGAGGCAGCAGUAGGGAAUCUUCCGCAAUGGACGCAAGUCUGACGGAGCAACGCCGCGUGAGUGAUGAAGGUUUUCGGAUCGUAAAGCUCUGUUGCCAGGGAAGAACGCUAUGGAGAGUAACUGUUCCAUAGGUGACGGUACCUAGAAGAAAGCCC
rnacentral:rRNA from 1 species